rnacentral:piRNA from 1 species
AACUGUGGGUAUGGAUGCAUGAGAG